UUUAACCAUGCGGAGGUUCUAACGAUGAACUUUUGAGAAACCGGGCCCUGCCCAGCAGUGCAGAGGAUUGGAAUUUGUUUACAUAAGACAACACGUAGCACAUUUUCUUACUUGAUAAAUACUGCACCAAACACCUUAGGUAGAUUGUGCGAAUAAAACCUCCGCAAAAACGUCGAUUUAUUACAGAUUUCUUGAGUGAUGUUGGAUUCAUUCAGACUAUUCUGAGGAAGUCAUACUGGCUUUAUUCCUACGGUCUCAUGGGGGACAAACAUCAGUAACUGCCACAUCGAACCACACCCUCAAGACUUCCUCAGACUGAGAAACACAUGCGGAAUCGGUGUGCAGUCGCUCUUUAAAAUCAGAGGAAUGAUAGCAGCCACAGACAGCUCCAGUCCAGUAGUUGGCAGACAAGCACAAGUGUUUAGUCUUGGGAGUAUUUGGAGACAAAACGGUGAGGAAAGGGAUCGCAUGGGCUUUCCUCCCGGUUGACAGCCAGUGAUGCUCAUCCUACAAUCAAUUCCUAACCUCCAUCAUGUAAUGGCUUUCUAAUCUGAAGUGCCUCAGACAGGUUUCCCGGCCCAUCCUGUGUGUUUUUGAUGACUAGGCAAUUUCAGUGGAAAUCAUCCCUGUGGAAAUCACCCGCCUCGGGCCAGACCACAUGGAACAGCAAGCCAGGGGGGAAACAAAGCCUCGGACCAGACCACAUGGAACAGCAAGCCAGGGGGGAAACAAAGCCUCGGGACAGACCACAAGGAACAGCAAGCCAGGGGGGAAAGAACGAGCAAAAGGCAAUAAAAAGAGUCAAUCACAACAAAGUCCAAGGGCUCUAUUGGCACACAGAGAGAGAGUUUAGUCCCACCCCCAGAGAGAGAGAGGGGGAACAGGAAAGAGAGAGAUGAAAAGAGAGAGCUAGAGGAAAGGGGUUCUACAGAUCACCAAAAAAGGGUAUCCUCCUCCUGAGAGAGUAUAUGUUCUCUCACUGUGCUACUCCAAACACAAGGAGGUCAUACCAAGAAAUGGGACUGGGGUUAAUGUGGAGGGGUUGCUAUAAUAAUGGGACUGUGGUUAAUGUGGAGGGGUUGCUAUAAUAAUGGGACUGUGGUUAACGUGGAGGGGUUGCUAUAAUAAUGGGACUGUGGUUAACGUGGAGGGGUUGCUAUAAUAAUGGGACUGUGGUUAAUGUGGAGGGGUUGCUAUAAUAAUGGGACUGGGGUUAAUGUGGAGGGGUUGCUAUAAUAAUGGGACUGUGGUUAACGUGGAGGGGUUGCUAUAAUAAUGGGACUGUGGUUAACGUGGAGGGGUUGCUAUAAUAAUGGGACUGUGGUUAAUGUGGAGGUGUUGCUAUAAUAAUGGGACUGUGGUUAAUGUGGAGGGGUUGCUAUAAUAAUGGGACUGUGGUUAAUGUGGAGGGGUUGCUAUAAUAAUGGGACUGGGGUUAAUGUGGAGGGGUUGCUAUAAUAAUGGGACUGUGGUUAACGUGGAGGGGUUGCUAUAAUAAUGGGACUGUGGUUAAUGUGGAGGGGUUGCUAUAAUAAUGGGACUGGGGUUAAUGUGGAGGGGUUGCUAUAAUAAUGGGACUGUGGUUAACGUGGAGGGGUUGCUAUAAUAAUGGGACUGUGGUUAACGUGGAGGGGUUGCUAUAAUAAUGGGACUGUGGUUAAUGUGGAGGGGUUGCUAUAAUAAUGGGACUGUGGUUAAUGUGGAGGGGUUGCUAUAAUAAUGGGACUGUGGUUAAUGUGGAGGGGUUGCUAUAAUAAUGGGACUGUGGUUAAUGUGGAGGUGUUGCUAUAAUAAUGGGACUGUGGUUAACGUGGAGGGGUUGCUAUAAUAAUGGGACUGUGGUUAAUGUGGAGGGGUUGCUAUAAUAAUGGGACUGUGGUUAACGUGGAGGGGUUGCUAUAAUAAUGGGACUGUGGUUAAUGUGGAGGGGUUGCUAUAAUAAUGGGACUGUGGUUAAUGUGGAGGUGUUGCUAUAAUAAUGGGACUGUGGUUAAUGUGGAGGGGUUGCUAUAAUAAUGGGACUGUGGUUAACGUGGAGGGGUUGCUAUAAUAAUGGGACUGUGGUUAAUGUGGAGGUGUUGCUAUAAUAAUGGGACUGUGGUUAAUGUGGAGGUGUUGCUAUAAUAAUGGGACCGUGGUUAACGUGGAGGGGUUGCUAUAAUAAUGGGACUGUGGUUAAUGGGACUGUGGUUAAUGUGGAGGUGUUGCUAUAAUAAUGGGACUGUGGUUAAUGUGGAGGGGUUGCUAUAAUAAUGGGACUGUGGUUAAUGUGGAGGGGUUGCUAUAAUAAUGGGACUGUGGUUAACGUGGAGGGGUUGCUAUAAUAAUGGGACUGUGGUUAAUGGGACUGUGGUUAAUGUGGAGGGGUUGCUAUAAUAAUGGGACUGUGGUUAACGUGGAGGGGUUGCUAUAAUAAUGGGACUGUGGUUAAUGUGGAGGUGUUGCUAUAAUAAUGGGACUGUGGUUAAUGUGGAGGUGUUGCUAUAAUAAUGGGACUGUGGUUAACGUGGAGGGGUUGCUAUAAUAAUGGGACUGUGGUUAAUGUGGAGGUGUUGCUAUAAUAAUGGGACUGUGGUUAACGUGGAGGGGUUGCUAUAAUAAUGGGACUGUGGUUAAUGGGACUGUGGUUAAUGUGGAGGGGUUGCUAUAAUAAUGGGACUGUGGUUAACGUGGAGGGGUUGCUAUAAUAAUGGGACUGUGGUUAAUGUGGAGGGGUUGCUAUAAUAAUGGGACUGUGGUUAAUGUGGAGGGGUUGCUAUAAUAAUGGGACUGUGGUUAAUGUGGAGGUGUUGCUAUAAUAAUGGGACUGUGGUUAACGUGGAGGGGUUGCUAUAAUAAUGGGACUGUGGUUAAUGUGGAGGGGUUGCUAUAAUAAUGGGACUGUGGUUAACGUGGAGGGGUUGCUAUAAUAAUGGGACUGUGGUUAAUGUGGAGGGGUUGCUAUAAUAAUGGGACUGUGGUUAAUGUGGAGGGGUUGCUAUAAUAAUGGGACUGUGGUUAACAUGGAGGGGUUGCUAUAAUAAUGGGACUGUGGUUAAUGUGGAGGGGUUGCUAUAAUAAUGGGACUGUGGUUAAUGUGGAGGGGUUGCUAUAAUAAUGGGACUGUGGUUAAUGUGGAGGUGUUGCUAUAAUAAUGGGACUGUGGUUAAUGUGGAGGGGUUGCUAUAAUAAUGGGACUGUGGUUAAUGUGGAGGGGUUGCUAUAAUAAUGGGACUGUGGUUAAUGUGGAGGGGUUGCUAUAAUAAUGGGACUGUGGUUAAUGUGGAGGGGUUGCUAUAAUAAUGGGACUGUGGUUAAUGUGGAGGGGUUGCUAUAAUAAUGGGACUGUGGUUAACGUGGAGGGGUUGCUAUAAUAAUGGGACUGUGGUUAACGUGGAGGGGUUGCUAUAAUAAUGGGACUGUGGUUAAUGUGGAGGGGUUGCUAUAAUAAUGGGACUGUGGUUAAUGUGGAGGGGUUGCUAUAAUAAUGGGACUGUGGUUAACGUGGAGGGGUUGCUAUAAUAAUGGGACUGUGGUUAACGUGGAGGGGUUGCUAUAAUAAUGGGACUGUGGUUAAUGUGGAGGUGUUGCUAUAAUAAUGGGACUGUGGUUAAUGUGGAGGUGUUGCUAUAAUAAUGGGACUGUGGUUAAUGUGGAGGUGUUGCUAUAAUAAUGGGACUGUGGUUAACGUGGAGGGGUUGCUAUAAUAAUGGGACUGUGGUUAACGUGGAGGGGUUGCUAUAAUAAUGGGACUGUGGUUAAUGUGGAGGUGUUGCUAUAAUAAUGGGACUGUGGUUAAUGUGGAGGUGUUGCUAUAAUAAUGGGACUGUGGUUAACGUGGAGGGGUUGCUAUAAUAAUGGGACUGUGGUUAACGUGGAGGGGUUGCUAUAAUAAUGGGACUGUGGUUAACGUGGAGGGGUUGCUAUAAUAAUGGGACUGUGGUUAGUGUGGAGGUGUUGCUAUAAUAAUGGGACUGUGGUUAAUGUGGAGGGGUUGCUAUAAUAAUGGGACUGUGGUUAAUGUGGAGGGGUUGCUAUAAUAAUGGGACUGUGGUUAAUGUGGAGGGGUUGC